ACUCCCCCUCUGAGAUCCAACCAAGCACCUGGUAGGAAGCAACACACACACAUAGGUUACCUGCAUGCGCAGCUCCAGAUCUCGGGCUGCCUGGUAGAUCUCCUCCUCCUCGCACUCUCCAGACUGAGCCAGCUGAUCCGCAGCUUCCAGAAGCUUCUCCGCAUUAGUCGCUCGCGCUCGGUGGAGAGACUUCCCCACACCGGUGUGUUUGUUGAGGAAGACCUCACCGUGCUGCUCCACCCAGUCCAACACCUGACAGAAAGGUAGGUGAAAGGAAAAUCUGUGAGAACAAACUUAGAUCUAACUCACAACUUUUCUUAAAAUCAGGUGUACCUGAACCUGUUUUAAUCUACAUUUCUAUCUGAAUCUGAGUUUAAAUGGAAUGCAACUCAAGAUAAAAGUAUGGAUUUUUAAACAUAAUUUACACUAGAAUUUGAUUAAAUUCAAAUCAAUAUCCAGAUCUGGAUUGUUGAUUUUGAUUCAAAUCUAAUUUCAGUUUAAAGUCAGAUCUGGAUUUGGACCAGAUUUUAAAUAUGAUUCUAAAUUCUG